rnacentral:misc_RNA from 1 species
GAUGAAGAACGCAGCGAAAUGCGAUAAGUAAUGUGAAUUGCAGAAUUCAGUGAAUCAUCGAAUCUUUGAACGCACAUUGCGCCCGCCAGUAUUCUGGCGGGCAUGCCUGUUCGAGCGUCAUUUCAACCAUCAAGCCCCCGGCUUGUGUUGGGGACCUGCGGCUGCCGCAGGCCCUGAAAAGCAGUGGCGGGCUCGCUGUCACACCGAGCGUAGUAGAUUUCAUCUCGCUCAGGGCGUGCUGCGGGUUCCGGCCGUUAAACCACCUUCAUAACCCAAGGUUGACCUCGGAUCAGGUAGGAAGACCCGCUGAACUUAAGUAUAUCAAUAAGCGGAGGA